rfam:Candidatus Acidianus copahuensis strain ALE1 ctg7180000000562, whole genome shotgun sequence.
GCCACCGUAGCUCAGCUCGGGAGAGCGCCCGGCUGAAGACCGGGCUGUCCGGGGUUCAAGUCCCCGCGGUGGCA